AGAUUAUAACAAAACAAACUACGAAGCUAAGGUGUUGUCUUGUAGGCUCGUCAGAAUCGCUGUACGUUGAGGUGCCUUUUUCUUUUCUAUUUGUCAAUCAGAUUUAAACUUGAAGACCGAAAAUUCUAUAUUUUUUCUGAGUGCUUGGGCCCAAAAGACAAGGACAAGCUAUUUUGGCGUAGAAUAAAAUCGUAAUUGUCAAUCUUCUCUUUGGUUGGGGGAAGGAAGCUUCUGGAAGAACAAAACUAAAUGGUUACAGUUGAUUCUUCAAUUAUUGAAGCCCUGGGUUCGCGAUGUAUUUUGCAUUCAGUUAGCUCCUUUUAAAACUGUUACUUGGGUUCACAGACUACAAUUGACCAAUAAGAGCGUGGAGUGAAGAGUUCGUUUGGGGGAGGGGUCGUUACUUUAAUUCUUACACUAUUCCACUUCCUGGGUAGAACUAAACUCGUGGCAAUACUGAGGAAAAUUUGCAAUCAACGACCUUAUGAGCUAGCUGUGUAUAAAACAGUUAUAUCAGCCUUAUCUAAACAUAACUGUAUUUUUCUUUCAAAGGAUAACACAAUGCCAUAAAGCUGGAAAAAGAUAUCGUCAUACGCAUGGACAGACAGACAACAGGAUAAUGUUUUCUCAAAUCACAGGAAAAUAUCAAGCUUGGGAUAAGAGAAGCUGGAAUGGAAAAAAGGACAACUUCAGGAAUGACGCUUUUCAAUAAGGUUUCUGGAUGCUUUUGACGUUCAUUGCAAAACCAAAAGAAGAAAUCAGCCCAGUGGAAUUCAAGAUAAACACAAGUUUACUCAGAGGUAGAAAACAAACUAAACCAAGAGUUUACUUCAAGACUAAGUCGAAAGAAUCGCAGGGAAAAUUUGUCACCCAGUAUCAAGAUAGGACUGUUAUCAGAGCGAAUUAGUUUCUGCCAUUUUGAGCUGUUUGUGAAAUCAUAGCUUCGACUGAAAUUUAUCACUGGAAUAACACAAAUUUUCUAAAUAUAUUUAAUGUUGAAUUUUUUGUGUUAGUUUUUUCCUAAGUAACAUCGGUUUGAACGGUUUCAAUUUUCCCGCCAAAAGACUUAGAAAAAUA